CCUACGAGUGGCAGCAGUGAGGAAUAUUGGUCAAUGGACGAGAGUCUGAACCAGCCAAGUAGCGUGAAGGAUGACGGCCCUAUGGGUUGUAAACUUCUUUUAUAUGGGAAUAAAACAGGGUAUGCAUACACUCAUGUAUGUAUCGUAUGAAUAAGGAUCGGCUAACUCCGUGCCAGCAGCCGCGGUAAUACGGAGGAUACGAGCGUUAUACGGGUUUAUUGGGUUUAAAGGGAGCGUAGGUGGAGUGAUAAGUCAGUUGUGAAAGUUUGCUGAUCAACCGUAGAAUUGCCGUUGAUACUGGCAGUCUUGAGUACAGUAGAGGUGGGCGGAAUUCGUGGUGUAGCGGUGAAAUGCUUAGAUAUCACGCAGAACUCCGAUUGCGAAGGCAGCUCACUGGAC
rnacentral:rRNA from 1 species